GGCAACAGCUCAAAUUUGAAAUCUGGCUCUCGGGCCCGAGUUGUAAUUUGUAGAGGAUGCUUUUGGUGCGGUGCCUUCCGAGUGCCCUGGAACGGGACGCCAUAGAGGGUGAGAGCCCCGUCUGGUUGGAUGCCAAUCCUCUGUAAAGCUCCUUCGAC
rnacentral:rRNA from 1 species